rnacentral:rRNA from 1 species
ACGAACGCUGGCGGCGUGCUUAACACAUGCAAGUCGAACGGAAAGGCCCUGCUUUUGUGGGGUGCUGGAGUGGCGAACGGGUGAGUAACACGUGAGUAACCUGCCCUUGACUUUGGGAUAACUUCAGGAAACUGGGGCUAAUACCGGAUAGGAGCUCCUGCUGCAUGGUGGGGGUUGGAAAGUUUCGGCGGUUGGGGAUGGACUCGCGGCUUAUCAGCUUGUUGGUGGGGUAGUGGCUUACCAAGGCUUUGACGGGUAGCCCGCCUGAGAGGGUGACCGGCCACAUUGGGACUGAGAUACGGCCCAGACUCCUACGGGAGGCAGCAGUGGGGAAUAUUGCACAAUGGGCGGAAGCCUGAUGCAGCAACGCCGCGUGCGGGAUGACGGCCUUCGGGUUGUAAACCGCUUUCGCCUGUGACGAAGCGUGAGUGACGGUAAUGGGUAAAGAAGCACCGGCUAACUACGUG